rnacentral:lncRNA from 1 species
GCUCGGAGCGGUGCGUGGCUGCCCGUGCAGAGCCGUGCGCUCAGGGGCGGGGUGCCGGGCCGCGUUCGUGCGGUGCGGUGCGGCGGCGGUGCCGGCACAUUCCGGGCAGGCGCACUGAGCGGCGCGGGGCGGCGGCGCUGCGAGUUCGGAGCCCAUGGAGGUGACGGAGCCGCAGCCCGGACCGAGCCCCGCUGCGGGACCGCAGCCGGGAGCCGAGGAGAUUGACAUGUCCCUGGAUGACAUCAUCAAGCGUCACAGGAAGGAGCAAACAGAUGCCAAAGCUGCAGGGGAUGGCCGGAGGCAGCAGACCAAGAACAGGAAUUUGGCAUAUGGGUUUGGGCGGCCCCGCUUCCGUGCCUGGAUGCAGAGGAACUUGCAAGGACCCAACCGUUUUAGGAGAGGCUUUGGACAACAACAGAACAACCGAAGGCAAUUCAGGAAUGCUCUGCCCGGCCCCAGGAGAAGAGCAGCUGCUGCACUGAGUGGAGUGAGCCCUUUGAACCGCCCAGCAUCAGCUCAGGAGGGCAACAAGAGUGAGGAUGCUUUCCCCAAAAGCAGCAGUGGGCAGCCCGAGGCACGGCGACGGCCACCGCCUGGCCCCAGGAGGUUCAGAGCAGCUGCUGCCAGCACCAGCGCCCCAGGGAGGAGCAGGCCCUUCCUGCUNNNNNNNNNNNNNNNNNNNNNNNNNNNNNNNGGCUUCCAGCAGAAGCGGAUGCAGCAGCGAUUCUCCAAAGCCUACAUCCAGAGAGGGCAAAUGGAUGCUAACGCAGAAGGGAAACCACCAAGGAUGAGAAGGUGGCAAGUGAAACCCAGCCCCGGAGCGGUUCUGACGGUUUCUGUGGCUAAUCCCCAGGCGAGCCAGACUAACACGCCCGGAGCCAAGCGCCCUUUCCUGCGAAGCCAGAGGCCCCCGCCACGCAUCACCAAGCCCCAACCCAAAGGGGUGAUGCUGAGGUUCAACUUUCGUGCCAUGGCCAACCAGACCAGCCUGACGCUGGAUGAGAGGUUCUCUGGGCUGAGGAAUAAGAGGCGCUUUGCAGCAGCCCGCAGCGCCCGCCGGACGGUCACCAUGCCCUAGCAGCACGCACUCAUCAUGGGGACAGCGGGCAGCAGCCCGGGCCCUGUAACAGGUGGCUCAAUAAAACUCGAUAGAUUCCCUCUGAGAUAGCUGAU